rnacentral:rRNA from 1 species
UACGUAGGGUGCAAGCGUUGUCCGGAAUUAUUGGGCGUAAAGAGCUCGUAGGCGGUUUGUCGCGUCUGCCGUGAAAGUCCGGGGCUCAACUCCGGAUCUGCGGUGGGUACGGGCAGACUAGAGUGAUGUAGGGGAGACUGGAAUUCCUGGUGUAGCGGUGAAAUGCGCAGAUAUCAGGAGGAACACCGGUGGCGAAGGCGGGUCUCUGGGCCGGAACUGACGCUAAGGAGCGAAAGCGUGGGGAGCGAACAGG